rnacentral:lncRNA from 1 species
UUCUCUUUUUUUUUAUUGCCUUUUUUUUUUCAAUGUUAAAGAAGUGAAUGAAAGGAAGGGUACCUGAGAUUACAGAAGGAGGAGGAGGUGGUGUAGAGGGACUCCCUGCAGGAAAACAACUAGUUAUGGAAAGGACUGAACUCCCAGGUGCUCAGUGAGCAUGGGAACAAACCAGAGACUAUAAUUUUAAGGCUGAUCUCACAUUAUAUGCCAAUUUUUUAUUUCAGACAGGAAGCACUGACUAUUACAAAAACUUUAACAAUUGGGCAGCUGAUCCUGUACCAGUGGGACUUGGCCAGGACAGAUCUGGAAGUGUUUUACAAAUGCUAGUGUGCAAAUAUUAACAAAUAUUAAAAAUGUGUUGGGUUUUUUUGUUCGGUUGGGUUUUUAAAGUAGGGAAAUAAGGGUAAAAGAGGAGGUUAAGAGACUUGCUAAACCUCACGUGAUAAAUAAAUGGCCACACAGAGCAAGGGGACAACGAGGAACCUAUCUAUAACCAAGGCUGACACUUUGCAAGAGGUUCAGUGGUAAAUUAUCACUCUGCAUAUUGGACAUAAACAGAAACAAAGUGAUACAGAGCAGGAGUGGGCAUCCAUGAACAAGCAGCAAUGUACAACAGGCAUUACUGAAAACUACCAUGUUCUCCUAACUAUUUAAUUCUUCCUUCAAAAUUUUUCUACUGCUUCUUAAAAGAGUUUGCAAAUGACAAAUUGGUGUUUGUAUUUCAAUUUAGUUGUUUCUGAGAUCUGCCACUCCUACUUUUUCUAUGACUUCACAAGGCUGGAAGUCACAGGCAUUCUAAAUGAAAUCCCUUUGGGCCUCAUAGCUGGAAUCAGCGGAAAACAAAUGUCUGGGGGAAAAGGUUAUUCUGGAAAUCAGGUCUGUUGAAAAGAGCUGACAUAUUGCACAGCGAUGCAGCUUGAUUGGUUGUAGCUGUCAUUUUAUUAUAAAGGAAUACAAAACUAUAUCUUAGCUAUGGCAGUCAAAACAAGACUUCUUAAAAAUAAAUGGUCUUGAAAACCCUUUGGCCAAUUUAUACGGCAAUUAGGCAAGACUUAUUCACUGUACCCUUCUUAUUUCACUAGUAAAUAGGAGCUAGAAUAACUUCGCUGAAGACUGAUAACUAACUUCUGAAAGCUGAAGUAUCAUAACACUAUCCUUUCUCCAUGUUCAAAAAUGGCUUAUCUUUAAUGACUACACUAGUUUUACUUCAUAACAUUUCUGCAUGGGCAUUCUUGAUGUAUUUUCGCAAUUUUUCCCUUCAGAGCGAAGAUCACCAUUAAUUUAAGCAAGCUGAGAAACAGUUCAGAUGGAUGGUUUUGGUUGCUCUCCAGUGACAUCCAUGCAGUCUAUUAUAUAAGUAGUUUACUGCAGUGAAGUCAUUAUGUUGAGUCCAGCUACAGAAUGACUUCUAUUUGUUAGACUCCUCAACUACUGUUUAACCACCCUCCUCCAAAUAUGUAACCAUGCCUCCUUGCUAUAGCACACCUUUGCUUUUACUAUUUGUUUUCACAGUUGACAUUUCCUUUCUUUC